rnacentral:rRNA from 1 species
GACAGAGGUGCCGAGCGUUAGGCGGAAUCACUGGGCUUAAAGCGUGUGUAGGCGGGCCGUUAAGUGUCUUGUGAAAUCCCCCCGGCUCAACCGGGGAAUUGCUAGGCAUACUGGCGGUCUUGAGCGAUCUAGGGGCAGAUGGAACAAGUGGUGGAGCGGUGAAAUGCGUAGAUAUCACUUGGAACGCCAAAGGUGAAGACAGUCUGCUGGGGAUCUGCUGACGCUGAGACACGAAAGCCAGGGGAGCGAACGGG